rnacentral:lncRNA from 1 species
GGGCCUGAAGAGAAGAAUCCGACACGCCUUAUGGCUGGACCCUCUUCGAGUUGCUUCAGGAUCACCUCGGCACCGAGAAAACCGCCUUCUGCUCUCCUCCUUUUUCCUAUGGCCCAUGUUAAUCCCGCCUCAACUGGAGUUGUAUGUUGUUCCAUGUCGUUUCCAUAUAAACACAGGCCAGCCUCAAGUCGAAGACUGUCUCUAGCACCUAGUCCUGUCAAUCGAACCUUCCCUUCUGAUUUCUCUAGGAUUGCUUUGGCAAGAUCUAGUGCAUUCUCUGAAGGCACUGAAAUUUCAAAUCCAUCUUCACCUGUGUACCUGAUUAUUUCAGAAGUAUAAGAAAGUUGUUUUAACUGUCAGCAUUGAACAUUUUUCUUUCCCUAAAAUUGGAAUGUAUUCAGAAGAACCAAAACAAUACUUGAACUUGGCAUGAAAGCCAAACCAUUGUUUUUUAAGAACAGGAUGAUAAGCGAUGUUAUGGUCAUAAAGAAAAUAGCAUGUUUAAUUUUUCAAAAAUUUAAAGUGGUACCAAAAGAAUUGGCUCAUUCAGACUGAAAAGGGAAAUGUAAGCCUAAAGGAAGCAUACCCUGUCCUGGUGAGAAAGCAACGGGCUCCGUUGAUAUCCAAUAUGCGGAACUCGCCAAAGUAAAGUUUGCUCAGAUCAUCUUUGGUCAAGUAUUGAAGAACUGGUGCAGCUAGAGGGCCCUACAAAAGGAAGACAAUGAUUUUUUUUAUAUUGGAUUUAUAACAAUAGGUUCCAUAAAAAAAGCGACUUAUAAAUGGAAGAACAAUGCAUUCAACCUAAAUUGAUAGGGUUGAUGGAUAUGAAGGGAAUAAGUUCAACAACUUAAUAUGCAUAUAACACCAACACCAACUUCACGACUAGGAAUCCUAAACUCAUGACAGUGUUUAUCCAAUUUAAAUGUGGGAUAAAUG